rnacentral:lncRNA from 1 species
GUUCCGCCUCUGAGAGCAAAGUGGUUACUUAAUGGGAGGAGCAAAUUUUUCCUGCAAAAAACUGCUCUAGGCAAAGUGACUUCCAACAAGAGAGGGUAAAAUAACCUGAGCUAGAGUCCAGACAACCAAAUCUGUUAAAGGCAUCUAAAUACUUUAAACAAAUGUGCGGUGAUGAAGCUGGAAAUUAGUCCUCAUCAGAAAUGAGGAAUAUUAACAUACACCAACAAAAGAAAGCACAACGGAAGGCAGCCCAGAGGCAGUCCUGCUCAUUGCUGACUUCAGUUCAGAAUAUUUUGCAUGCCUGGAAUUUUCACCAUCUCGGAAGUUUCCUCUAUAGUGGGACUCUGUGCUGAUGCCAGAUGUACACUGAACAGUACAAGUCAUUUGCAUCAUUUUCAUCAGACAACCUCAUCUAGCAAAAUGGUGAUAACACAAUCUUAUUCUGAAGCCAAAAGAGAGUUAUACAAUCAAUCGUUUUCAGAUAUGCUUUAAAACUGUUCAAAGGUAACAUCAUUAUUUUAAGUUAUAGCACAAUCAUUAAAGGAAAAAAGAACGCAAGAACAAAUGAAAUUCGUUAUUAUUUUAGUUACUUUUAGUGGAAAAAAUAAAACAAGAUUUGGAUUUUCAGCCAGGAUAAAGUAAAAAGACUCUUGUCAGAUGUCAAUUUUCUCAUUAAUGAACUAUUUGAGACUGUACUCCUGGGUCAACUUACUUCUGCUUCUCCUGUCUCUAGACCUGUCUUAAUUAUAUUUGUGUCUCAGGAUCCAUGACAUAGGUUUAAACAGACCCACGGGCAAAUCUAAACACUGGACUGGACAAUGAAUAGUGUCCAGUCUAUUCAUUUCUCUACAAAGUGACAGAAAUUCAGCCUUUAAUCAGAAGUUGAUUCUACCUAAAUUCCUAAUAUAACUAAUAAAAUGUAGUCACCUGGCCAGGCGCGGUGGCUCAUGCCUGUAAUCCCA